ensembl:lncRNA
GGCGGCAGCAGGAGGUGGCGCCUGGCCCUCUGCAAGCCUCCGUCAGUCACACAGCCAGAAACCUGUGGACACCAGGCAGGACCAGCUGUCCCCUCCUUCAGAGGCGAGUUCUGGAGGUGAGGCAGGCGUCUCUGAGGUGGAGGGCACCGGGCGCAGGGCUCUUGCGGGAGGCGGGGACACUGGCCGGCCUCCCUCCGCCUCGUCCCAAGGGCUGGGCCGCCCUCCUGGUUCCAGCCUGGGCCUGCGGCUCGCCUGCCCUGGCCAUCACUGCCGAGUGGGCUCCAGGCCGCGGCAGCUGUGGAGCCCUCCCCGUGCCCUCCUGCCUGCCGUGGGGACAGAGAGGGACCCAGAGUCCCGACGAUGUCACCGGAGACCCUCGAGGAGCCAGGCCUGAAAUCUUUCCCCAGAGGUUUCUGUUCCGUGAAUUCUGAGUCCUCGUCUGCAGGCUGCCCCAGGACGGUGCCCUGGAGCCUGAAGCAGGGAUGGGAGUUCAGAUGCCGGAACCCUGAGACUGGCACGAGGUGGAGUGUGAGGCGCUGCAGGCUGCUCCCUGUGGCCUCUCGGGCCUGAAGAGGGCCUCCUCUUCCUGUGCCUAUGUCCUGAUCGCCUCUUCCUUUUUAGGGCUCCAGCUGCUCCGGGAGUGGCUGGGCUGUGGGGCCAGGCCAAGGGCAGCCGCUUCCCCGAGACACCAGAGUCUGGCUGAGGUGGGCCUUGCCUCCCCAUCACCCCCUGCCCGCUCAGCGCCUCUGGUGUCCUCUGCAAGGGUGAGGCCUGGGGUGCAGACAGCACGGCAGCUUUGGGAGUCCCACAGCUUGGCAGAAGGCAAGGCUUCCAGCUGGGGCGGCACCGGAGGGCCCUGGCCAGCGCUGCCAGGUGACCUGUCUGCUGCCCCGGGGCUGCCCUGGGAACUGCUCACCCGGGACCGGGACAGUGGCCAAGGCUGCGAUGGGCCAGGACACAGGCAGACCGAGCUGCCCCUGGUCUGCUCAGGCUCACAGGGGGAAGAGGACCUGGCGCCCACCUUCCCUGUGUGCGGUGGCAAUGGGGAUAAGGCAAGUGCUAGACCACUGCGCUGCAUCCCAGCCCCUUUCAUUCUGAGGCAGUUCCCACCAAGUCCCCCAGACUGGCCUUGAACUGUGGUCCUCCGCCUCAGCCUCCUGAGUGGCGGCGAUGCCAGGCAUCUGUUCAGCAGUCUUCAGCACGCCCAGUGUGGCCUCUCGCCCAACAGCUGUGGGGCCCUGCGCUGUGUCCAGGUGUGGCUGAGCCCUUGGCCUGGAGCCUGCAGCUCUGCCACCCCUGUUCUGCCCCUAGGGACAGGGCUGCCUUCUUGGCCCUGCCUGGCCAUAUCUUCUCCUGGGGCCCUCAAGUGCCACCCAAGCCUCCUCUGUCCCUGUCCGUCCCCGCAUCUGCUCUGUCCGCUGGUGGCCCUGGCCAGCGCUGGUCCUCUCUGACCAUUGCCA